rnacentral:lncRNA from 1 species
CUCUAGUUCAGCAGUAAUGUCGUCGUUAGCACCCAAGGCCCAAACGAGGAAGCAGAGUCAUGCAUGAGAGUCAACUGUCAGGAAACAGUGAGCUGCAGCCCAAGGACAGGCCAGCGGGGGCUGUCGCCAGGGAGGAAGUGCAGUCCACAUGCCGUCUCUAUCCAAGCUCCAGCUCCCUCUGCCAUUCUCCUGCCUCAGAACAGGGAAAAGGUGCUCUGAAGCUGCGCUCCCUUCCACUCAGCCAGAGAAGACCAGCAGACCAGGGGCCAGAGGCAGAGAAAUGCAUGCAAGUGGCUCCUCCCUGCAAAUCAGAACAUCUGACCCUGGCCCAGCACCGGACUCCUGUCCUGGAUGUGGUCUCAACAGCACAGCCUUGGAGCAAACCCAGGGAGCUCGAAUGAGUGACGGUCCUGGUGUGGGUUCAGCCAUAACCUCCAGGACAGAUGAGAGCAGGCACUUCUAAAGGGUGGCCCUUCCGAGAGGGAAAGGCCUGGAGCCUUACGCUGGAGCAUGCUCACUCUGGGGGUCUAGCGCCGAGUCCCGGGUCCUGAGGGACACACUGUGAGCCUGGAGUUGGUGACGGCUGGGGACAUACUGUGAGCCUGGAGCUGAUGACAGCUGGAACCGGACGGUGCACUGUGAGCCUGGAGCUGGUGACGGCUGGGGACAUACUGUGAGCCUGGAGCUGGUGGCUGCUGGAGACAUACUGUGAGCCUGGAGCUGGUGACGGCUGGAACCAGACAUUGCACUGUGAGCCUGCAGCUGGUGACAGCUGGGGACAUACUGUGAGCCUGGACCUGGUGACGGCUGGAACCGGACGGUGCACUGUGAACCUGGAGCUGAUGACAGCUGGGGACAUACUGUGAGCCUGGAGCUGGUGACGGCUGGGGACAUACGGGCUUUGAUCAUCAGCACGUGCUUGGAACUGUCACUCAGAACUCUGGGCUGUGGUGGCAUUUAGUGCACUGAGUUUUGACCUGUCCUGAGCCCUACAAACCUAACUUGUUGUUUUCUAAAAUUAAGGCCAAAAUGCCAGCAAAGCAAGCAUUAUUCCACCCGGUUACCUGCCCACAUCUGCACCAGACACUGCCACCG